UAUUAUUUUAAAGUAUUAAUCAGUAUCAUAUAAAUGCUUACAAGUGGACCUCCAAAGUAAAAUAGAAAGGCCACAAAUUUCUCAGGAAUGUGUGAUUUAACAGGUGAAUCUGACCCCAUGAAUGCAUUAGAUUGCACUUAAAAAAUUGCAAGUAAGUGAAAUGAACUUGAGUAAGUAUGAACAAUACAAAAUAAAAUGAGAGUCAUUUAUUACAAGGAUGUUGGGCAUCAUUAGGAAUGCACGGGCAACAACUGAACUGCAUAGUUGAGAGAUCUGGGAGGCCGUGAAUCUGUUUUGAGAGUUGCUGCUUUUGCCUCUCUCCUUUUUGUAGACAACGUCAUACCUUGAAUGUGAACUUGAGGCCUGGGACCAUGUGGGAGAACCUGUAGACUUUCGCUGACAACCAUGCUGUGACAGCAUGAAGAUAAAAGCCAAGAAGCUAAGGUUGGCGAGAGAUUGACAUCCCUGACAGCAUUUUUGAACCACUGUGUCUGGACUGCCGACGCUGGACUAUCUGAAACGUGAGUUUCAGAAAGUAAUUGCGGGCUUGCAUGCAUCAAUAACAACAAAGUUUGACACCUUGAGAAGGAGGAGUGAAUCUUCCCCGUUACAGAGCUGGCAGGAAAGAAGCACGCCUUGAUGGAUGCACCGUGGGCAUGUCGAUGUUCAGAACUCAGAGAGAGCUAUGCAUAUCAUUCCUCAAGGUUGUGAGG
rnacentral:lncRNA from 1 species